ACGAAUUUAUUCUUUUAGCAAAUACUCACUGAGUGCCUAUUAGAUAUUAGGAACUGGCCUGUACCCUGGGGAGCUGAAGGUGGGAGCAGGGUGAAUGGAACCUGUUUCUUGCUUCAGGGAGCUUUCUGUCUACUGAGAAAAGCAGACAAUAAACCAGUAAACACCUGAGUAAAUAUAGAAUUGGAAAGCAUGAAGGGAGAGAACAGUGUCCUAUUAAAAAUAUUAUGAGAGGGCUAAUUUUGAGUAAGGGGGAUUUUGUGGAAGGCUUCUCCAUGGAAAUGACAUUUAGACCAAGUCUUCCAAAAGUUAGGUGAAGAAUGAGGGCAAGGGUGUUCAGGCAUAGAAAGCAGCAUGUAUCACAUCCCUGAGGGGUGAAAAUCUUGGGGUGUCAGUGAACUCAAGGAAGCCUGGAGUUUAGUUCGCAUCUGAGGGGUAGAUGGGGAAACAUUCGUUUAUGGAGGUAGGCUGAGGUAGGCUCAUGUAGGGCCCUGCGGCUUCUAAUAAGGAACUUCAAUUCUAUUCCAAGCCCAAAGGGAAGCUAUUAAAGAAUUUUUUAGCAGGAGAAUAGCAUCAUGUAAUUUAUUUUUGAAAAAUAUUGCUCUGGCUUCAGAGACUUAGGAAAAAGCCAAAAAUGGAAAGGAGGAGAGCAGUUAGAAAACUGGUACAUUGGCUACAACAGGCAGUGAAGGUAGCUUGGACAAAGUGAUAAGAAUGGAAAUGAAGAGUAGGGAGAAUCUUUGAGAUAUAUUUGAGUGCAAAAAGACACUAUAAUCACUGGAAGCUGGUAGACUGGAACUUUCCAGUGAGUAACUUCAUCUUCCUCUCCGGGCACUGGCAGCCCAGUGGAGAGCCUCCCACACAGAGAGAUGCUGGAGUCAGUCUCUCUGGCUUCCAGUUUGAGCCCUGAAACUUGCUGUCUGACUUUGGGCAAAUCACUUUAAACAUUCUGUGCCUUUAUCCCUUUACUUCAGUGUAAAAUAGAGAUAGUAAUAAUACUGCAUAGGAGGUUGUGAGGAUUCAAUGAGUAAAUCUACUAAAGGCCUUAGAGGAGUGCCUGACACAAAGUAAGCACUGUGUUAAUAUUUGUGAUCCAUGUUUUACUCCGAUAAAAAUAUGUUACUAGGAACUUUGUCCAAAUACUGCCAAGAGUUUUCUGUUUGUUUGUUUGUUUGUUUUUUUGUCUCUCAGGUAAUAGGGAACAUCAGAUCCUGAAAUUAACAGACAAAUAGCAUUUUCAUUUUCUGCCAUACUGCUUAACCCUUUCUGAUGUUACAUAUAUUUGAUUAUAUGUAUAUUUACGAACGCAGAGAAUUUCCUCUUUUGGCAACCACAUCAACCAUGGAUCUUUGUUUCCCUUAGAAACGUGCAUUAGGGAAUCUUCAUCCUGACCAAGGAUUUCUCAUCACU